rnacentral:rRNA from 1 species
GUAGGGAAUAUUGGGCAAUGGAGGCAACUCUGACCCAGCCAUGCCGCGUGCAGGAAGACGGCCCUCUGGGUUGUAAACUGCUUUUAUCUGGGAAGAAAAAGGCCAUGCGUGGCAAAUUGCCGGUACCAGAUGAAUAAGCACCGGCUAACUCCGUGCCAGCAGCCGCGGUAAUACGGAGGGUGCGAGCGUUGUCCGGAUUUAUUGGGUUUAAAGGGUGCGUAGGCGGCUGAUUAAGUCAGCGGUGAAAGACUUCGGCUUAACCGGAGCAGUGUCGUUGAUACUGGUUGGCUUGAGUGUCGGAGGGGUACAUGGAAUUGAUGGUGUAGCGGUGAAAUGCAUAGAUACCAUCAGGAACCCCGAUAGCGAAGGCAUUGUACUGGCCGACAACUGACGCUGAUGCACGAAAGUGUGGGGAUCGAACAGGAUUAGAAACCCGUGUAGUCC